rnacentral:tRNA from 1 species
CACUCUAAAUAUAAGCUAUUUGAAU